GGGUUGUGAGGUUAAGCGACUAAGCGUACACGGUGGAUGCCCUGGCAGUCAGAGGCGAUGAAGGACGUGCUAAUCUGCGAUAAGCGCCGGUAAGGUGAUAUGAACCGUUAUAACCGGCGAUUUCCGAAUGGGGAAACCCAGUGUGAUUCGUCACACUAUCAUUAACUGAAUCCAUAGGUUAAUGAGGCGAACCGGGGGAACUGAAACAUCUAAGUACCCCGAGGAAAAGAAAUCAACCGAGAUUCCCCCAGUAGCGGCGAGCGAACGGGGAGGAGCCCAGAGCCUGAAUCAGCAUGUGUGUUAGUGGAAGCGUCUGGAAAGGCGCGCGAUACAGGGUGACAGCCCCGUACACAAAAGCGCAUGUGCUGUGAGCUCGAUGAGUAGGGCGGGACACGUGGUAUCCUGUCUGAAUAUGGGGGGACCAUCCUCCAAGGCUAAAUACUCCUGACUGACCGAUAGUGAACCAGUACCGUGAGGGAAAGGCGAAAAGAACCCCGGCGAGGGGAGUGAAAAAGAACCUGAAACCGUGUACGUACAAGCAGUGGGAGCACAGGUUUACCUGUGUGACUGCGUACCUUUUGUAUAAUGGGUCAGCGACUUAUAUUCUGUAGCAAGGUUAACCGAAUAGGGGAGCCGGAGGGAAACCGAGUCUUAACCGGGCGUUAAGUUGCAGGGUAUAGACCCGAAACCCGGUGAUCUAGCCAUGGGCAGGUUGAAGGUUGGGUAACACUAACUGGAGGACCGAACCGACUAAUGUUGAAAAAUUAGCGGAUGACCUGUGGCUGGGGGUGAAAGGCCAAUCAAACCGGGAGAUAGCUGGUUCUCCCCGAAAGCUAUUUAGGUAGCGCCUCGUGAAUUCAUCUCCGGGGGUAGAGCACUGUUUCGGCUAGGGGGCCAUCCCGGCUUACCAACCCGAUGCAAACUGCGAAUACCGGAGAAUGUUAUCACGGGAGACACACGGCGGGUGCUAACGUCCGUCGUGAAGAGGGAAACAACCCAGACCGCCAGCUAAGGUCCCAAAGUCAUGGUUAAGUGGGAAACGAUGUGGGAAGGCCCAGACAGCCAGGAUGUUGGCUUAGAAGCAGCCAUCAUUUAAAGAAAGCGUAAUAGCUCACUGGUCGAGUCGGCCUGCGCGGAAGAUGUAACGGGGCUAAACCAUGCACCGAAGCUGCGGCAGCGAACGUAUCACCCAAGACAACUUUACGGAGUUGACGAUUGACGGAGCGAAGCGACGUCAAAGCGUUCAUUAAAGUCGAGUUGGCUUAGGGAUACGUUCGUUGGGUAGGGGAGUGUUCUGUAAGCCUGCGAAGGUGGCCUGUGAGGGUUGCUGGAGGUAUCAGAAGUGCGAAUGCUGACAUAAGUAACGAUAAAGCGGGUGAAAAACCCGCUCGCCGGAAGACCAAGGGUUCCUGUCCAACGUUAAUCGGGGCAGGGUGAGUCGACCCCUAAGGCGAGGCCGAAAGGCGUAGUCGAUGGGAAACGGGUUAAUAUUCCCGUACUUGGUGUUACUGCGAAGGGGGGACGGAGAAGGCUAUGUUGGCCGGGCGACGGUUGUCCCGGUUUAAGCGUGUAGGUGUGUGUUCCAGGUAAAUCCGGUUCACUUUAACACUGAGGCGUGACGACGAGGCACUACGGUGCUGAAGCAACAAAUGCCCUGCUUCCAGGAAAAGCCUCUAAGCAUCAGGUAACAUCAAAUCGUACCCCAAACCGACACAGGUGGUCAGGUAGAGAAUACCAAGGCGCUUGAGAGAACUCGGGUGAAGGAACUAGGCAAAAUGGUGCCGUAACUUCGGGAGAAGGCACGCUGACACGUAGGUGAAGUGAUUUACUCACGGAGCUGAAGUCAGUCGAAGAUACCAGCUGGCUGCAACUGUUUAUUAAAAACACAGCACUGUGCAAACACGAAAGUGGACGUAUACGGUGUGACGCCUGCCCGGUGCCGGAAGGUUAAUUGAUGGGGUCAGCGCAAGCGAAGCUCCUGAUCGAAGCCCCGGUAAACGGCGGCCGUAACUAUAACGGUCCUAAGGUAGCGAAAUUCCUUGUCGGGUAAGUUCCGACCUGCACGAAUGGCGUAAUGAUGGCCAGGCUGUCUCCACCCGAGACUCAGUGAAAUUGAACUCGCUGUGAAGAUGCAGUGUACCCGCGGCAAGACGGAAAGACCCCGUGAACCUUUACUAUAGCUUGACACUGAACAUUGAGCCUUGAUGUGUAGGAUAGGUGGGAGGCUUUGAAGCGUGGACGCCAGUCUGCGUGGAGCCGACCUUGAAAUACCACCCUUUAAUGUUUGAUGUUCUAACGUGGACCCGUGAUCCGGGUUGCGGACAGUGUCUGGUGGGUAGUUUGACUGGGGCGGUCUCCUCCUAAAGAGUAACGGAGGAGCACGAAGGUUGGCUAAUCCUGGUCGGACAUCAGGAGGUUAGUGCAAUGGCAUAAGCCAGCUUGACUGCGAGCGUGACGGCGCGAGCAGGUGCGAAAGCAGGUCAUAGUGAUCCGGUGGUUCUGAAUGGAAGGGCCAUCGCUCAACGGAUAAAAGGUACUCCGGGGAUAACAGGCUGAUACCGCCCAAGAGUUCAUAUCGACGGCGGUGUUUGGCACCUCGAUGUCGGCUCAUCACAUCCUGGGGCUGAAGUAGGUCCCAAGGGUAUGGCUGUUCGCCAUUUAAAGUGGUACGCGAGCUGGGUUUAGAACGUCGUGAGACAGUUCGGUCCCUAUCUGCCGUGGGCGCUGGAGAACUGAGGGGGGCUGGCUCCUAGUACGAGAGGACCGGAGUGGACGCAUCGACUGGUGUUCGGGUUGUCAUGCCAAUGGCACUGCCCGGUAGCUAAAUGCGGAAGAGAUAAGUGCUGAAAGCAUCUAAGCACGAAAACUUGCCCCGAGAUGAGUUCUCCCUGAGACUUAGAGUCUCCUGAAGGAACGUUGAAGACGACGACGUUGAUAGGCCGGGUGUGUAAGCGCAGCGAUGCGUUGAGCUAACCGGUACUAAUGAACCGUGAGGCUUAACCGUUACAACGCCGAAG
rnacentral:rRNA from 1 species